rnacentral:rRNA from 1 species
AGCGAACGUUUGCGGCGGGCCUAACACAUGCAAGUCGAACGAGAUCUCGGGCUUCGGUCCGGGUGAAAGUGGCGCACGGGUGCGUAACACGUGGGUAAUCAACCCUCUGGAUCGGGACAACCCGGGAAACGUCGGGCUAAUACCGGAUACGUCGUCGGAGCUCUAGGGCUCUGACGGGAAAGGCCUGCAAGGGCGUACCAGAGGACGAGCUCGCGGCCCAUCAGCUAGUUGGUGAGGUAAUGGCUCACCAAGGCGAAGACGGGUAGCUGGUCUGAGAGGAUGAUCAGCCACACUGGAACUGAGACACGGUCCAGACUCCUAC